UACGGAGGGUGCGAGCGUUGUCCGGAAUCACUGGGCGUAAAGGGCGCGUAGGCGGCGCGGGAAGUCAUCGGUGAAAGUUCAGGGCUCAACUCUGAAUCGGCCGGUGAUACUCUCGUGCUUGAGCACUGUAGAGGCAGGUGGAAUUCCGGGUGUAGCGGUGGAAUGCGUAGAGAUCCGGAAGAACACCGGUGGCGAAGGCGGGUCUCUGGGCCGAUACUGACGCUGAGGAGCGAAAGCGUGGGGAGCGAACAGG
rnacentral:rRNA from 1 species